GUCUAUGGCCAUACCACCCUGAACACGCUUGAUCUCAUCUGAUCUCAGAAGCUGCGCAGGGUCAGGCCUGGUUAGUACUCGGAUGGGAGGAAAGCCUUCGCACGUCUGAGGAAGUGGGUCCCCAAGCCA
ensembl:rRNA 5S_rRNA 5S ribosomal RNA